UGGGGAAUAUUGGGCAAUGGGGGAAACCCUGACCCAGCAACGCCGCGUGAAGGAAGAAGGCCUUCGGGUUGUAAACUUCUUUUACCAGGGACGAAGGACGUGACGGUACCUGGAGAAAAAGCAACGGCUAACUACGUGCCAGCAGCCGCGGUAAUACGUAGGUUGCAAGCGUUGUCCGGAUUUACUGGGUGUAAAGGGCGUGUAGGCGGAGCUGCAAGUCAGAUGUGAAAUUCCGGGGCUCAACCCCGGAACUGCAUUUGAAACUGUAGCCCUUGAGUAUCGGAGAGGCAAGCGGAAUUCCUAGUGUAGCGGUGAAAUGCGUAGAUAUUAGGAGGAACACCAGUGGCGAAGGCGGCUUGCUGGACGACAACUGACGCUGAGGCGCGAAAGCGUGGGGAGCAAACAGGAUUAGAUACCCUGGUAGU
rnacentral:rRNA from 1 species